CCCUUAGAUGUUCUGGGCCGCACGCGCGCUACACUGAUGCAUUCAACGAGUCUAAAACCUGCUCUGAUAGGGGUGGGUAAUCUUUUGAAUGUGCAUCGUGAUUGGGAUAGAUGAUUGCAAUUUUUCAUCUUCAACGAGGAAUGCCUAGUAAACGCAAGUCAUCAGCUUGCAUUGAUUACGUUCCUGCCCUUUGUACACACCGCCCGUCGCUCCUACCGAUUGAAUGAUCCGAUGAAUAUCAUGGAUUGAGGAUGCAAGUAGGUUCGCCUAUCUUCAUCUUCGAGAAGUGAAGUAAAUCUUAUCAUUUAGAGGAAGGAGAAGUCGUAACA
rnacentral:rRNA from 1 species